GCCCGCCUAGCUCAAUCGGAUAGAGCGUCAGACUCUUAGGCGAAGUAUCUGAAGGCUGCGAGUUCGACCCUCGCGGUGGGCU